AUUGAACGCUAGCGGCAUGCCUAACACAUGCAAGUCGAACGGCAGCACGAGGAGCUUGCUCCUUGGUGGCGAGUGGCGGACGGGUGAGUAACGCGUAGGAAUCUGCCUCGUAGUGGGGGACAACCCGGAGAAACUCGGGCUAUACCGCAUAAUCUCUUCGGAGCAAAGUUGGGGACCUUCGGGCCUAACACUAUGAGAUGAGCCUGCGUUGGAUUAGCUAGUUGGUGGGGUAAAGGCCUACCAAGGCGACGAUCCAUAGCUGGUCUGAGAGGACGACCAGCCACACUGGGACUGAGACACGGCCCAGACUCCUACGGGAGGCAGCAGUGGGGAAUAUUGGACAAUGGGCGAAAGCCUGAUCCAGCAAUGCCGCGUGUGUGAAGAAGGCCUUCGGGUUGUAAAGCACUUUUAGUGGGGAAGAAAAAGACAAGGAUAAUACCCUUGGAAAUUGACGUUACCCACAGAAAAAGCACUGGCUAACUCUGUGCCAGCCGCCGCCGUAA
rnacentral:rRNA from 1 species